rnacentral:rRNA from 1 species
UACAGAGGUCCCAAGCGUUGUUCGGAUUCACUGGGCGUAAAGGGUGCGUAGGCGGCGGAGCAAGUCAGGUGUGAAAUCCCGGGGCUCAACCCUGGAACUGCACUUGAUACUGCUUUGCUAGAGUACUGGAGAGGAGAUUGGAAUUUACGGUGUAGCAGUGAAAUGCGUAGAUAUCGUAAGGAAGACCAGUGGCGAAGGCGAAUCUCUGGACAGUUACUGACGCUGAGGCACGAAGGCCAGGGGAGCAAACGGG